CAUUUUAUUAACGGGUUUUAUUAAAGCCCAACUCGACCUGGUAAUAUAAACGAAACCCAACAUCAGCGAUCUCUCUCUCUCUCUCUCAUGCCGAAACCCUAACACUAUUCCGGCGAAUGCCUGGCUCCAGUCAGUCUCAGUUCGGGUGGCGGCGGUCUUUGAAGUAGGCAUUGCAAGCAUCGGUUCGGGAUGAAUAGGCAACAACAGGGAGUAGGAAAUGUGUUCAGUCUCUGGGAGCAACGCCGACGUUUCGCUGCCGUUUAUGUUAUAUGUCUUGUGGUAAAUUGGUUAAUGCGACGGAGGAUACGUCGUAGGGAUCAUAUUGAUCGUCCCAUUAUGCGGUCAGAUGACGAAAGAAAAAAAGCGCGUGAAGAACUCAUACACCAUGUUAAAACAAGCACAAGAGCGCGUGCACUUGUACGAAUGGGUCCAGAAACUUUUAACAAUUUGUGUGACAUUCUUAGAGCCCACGGUGGUCUUACAAGCACACGUCUAUCAUCGGUUGAAGAACAAGUUAUCACUUUCCUUAACAUCUUAGGUGUGAACCAACUUAAUCGUACACUCCAAUGCUAUUUUCGCCGUUCUGGUGAAACUGUGAGUCGACAUUUUCAUAGAGUGUUAAGGGCAAUGAUUCUAUUGGAAGAAAUAUUUCUUCAACAACCUGAUGGAUCUGAAGUCCCUCCAGAAAUUGCCAACAAUACUAGGUUUUGGCCAUAUUUUAAGGAUUGUGUUGGAGCCAUCGGUGGGACACAUAUUCGUGUUAAAGUUUCCACUUUGCUCGCAUCACGCUAUCGAGACAUGGGAAAAAGGAAUAGUGUGGGCAGUGGUUGGAUGGAGAGUUUAGAUGAAAGCAAAAGAGAUAAGUUACAGUGGACAGAGAAGAUGGAUGAGUGUCUUAUUGAUGCACUUUUGCAUCAGCAAACCAUUGGAAAUAGAGUGGAUGGAACAUGGACUUGUGUUGCUUUAUCUAAUGUCUCCAAAGAAUUGACUGAAAAACUAGAGAUGGAUAUCAACAAAGAUAGGGUGAAAAAUCGUAUGAAAACUAUUAAGCAAAACUUCAACAGUUGCUUUGAUUUAUUCAAAAAUUUUAGUGGGUUUGCUUGGUGUCCAACUACAAGUAUGUGGAUGGCUGAACGUGAAGCUUGGGAGCCUUUGUUAAAGGCAAAUCCUAAUGCUUCAAAGUUUAUGAAGUAUCCCUUUCAUAACUACGACAAGAUGUUGCAAUUGUUUGCUAAUGAUAGAGCUACCGGCGAGGGUGCUAUGACAGCUAAGGAGAAGCGCCGACGUCUACAAAACUCAACAAAUAUGGGUCAAGAUCAGUGGAUCAGCCUAUGUCUCACAUUCAGCUGGGAUGCAAUCUGGAACUAAUAACGGCACCGCCUCCGGUCAACACCGUUGGCAGCAUCUCACGCACCAGCAGCAUCGCUGGCAGCAUCUCACGCACCAGCAGCACCUCCGGUCAAGCCCAUCUCUCUCUCUCGCACGGUUUCACCUUUCACACACUCUCUCACUUCCUCCGGCGACACCAGAACUUCCCUCCGGCGACACCAAAACUUCCCUCCGGCAACACCAAAACUUUCCUCCGGCGACCAGUAGCAACGACAUCUCCAUCUCUGUUGGGCUUCGUCUGCAACAGAGAGAAAAAGACAGUAGAGACGAGACAAAAAGUCAAACAACAAGCUCCUUGAGAUUUCAUUACAACAGUGGAGAUCAGUGCAUUUAUGCGUGUACCCGAAGAUGACGAGGGGAGAUGAGUGCAAAAGUGCAGCGUUCCAAAGAUGUAGAUGCAUGUGCUUCCUAAAAGGCAGCUGAGUUUUUUUUUUCAAUGUGCAACCUUCUCAUUAUGAUAAGCAGGAUGCUUAUGUAGCAUAAAUGGAAGAAGAUGAUGAUGAUAUUGCUGGUAUUGAGGCUAUUAAAUAUGAUGAUAUUGAUAGUGUUCUCAAAUCGCAGAAGACACAACGCAAUAUUGAUAUUAUGAAGGUUUUCUUCAACACAGAGAUUUUUCAAAGAAGUCCUCUUUCUCACCGCCGCUGAGUUUUGGUCCAUAUUCAGUUACUGAUGUGCUCGACUGCUGGAACAACCUGGAUGUUUUUGAGAGCUGAGAAUAGGAAUGAGAAUCAACUGAUGGAGUCAAAGAAAUAAACAGUGAUCAUUUGA